GCCGGUGUGGCGAAAUUGGCAUACGCUGCAGAUCUGGAAUCUGCUGGCGACGAUUGUCGCCGUGUGGGUUCGAUCCCCACCACCGGCA
rnacentral:tRNA from 1 species